GGCUGUCGUCCUACCUGCAAGUUAUUAGAGUGAAUAAUGACGUCUAAUACUGUCAGGUAAUGACGACAGCU
rfam:Ascaris suum AG00280, whole genome shotgun sequence.